GACGAACCGUGCGAACGUUGUUCGGAUUCACUGGGCUUAAAGGGCGCGUAGGCGGGUUUUCAAGUCCGGGGUGAAAUCCUCUUGCUCAAACGAGAGAACUGCCUUGGAUACUGAGGACCUCGAGGGAGGUAGGGGCAUGUGGAACUUCCGGUGGAGCGGUGAAAUGCGUAGAUAUCGGAAGGAACGCCGGUGGCGAAAGCGACGUGCUGGACC
rnacentral:rRNA from 1 species